AGGACGAACGCUGGCGGCGCGCUUAACACAUGCAAGUCGAACGGGGCCCUUCGGGGUUCAGUGGCGAACGGGUGCGUAACACGUGAGUGACCUGCCCUUAUAUGGGGGAUAACCCGGGGAAACCCGGGCUAAUACCGCAUGCGCUCUUGAGGCUUCCGGGCCUUGGGAGGAAGGUGCUUUACGGCAUCGUAUGAGGAGGGGCUCGCGGCGUAUCAGGUAGUUGGUAGGGUAACGGCCUACCAAGCCUAUGACGCGUAGGGGGUCUGAGAGGAUGGCCCCCCAGAUUGGGACUGAGAUACGGCCCAGACUCCUACGGGAGGCAGCAGUGGGGAAUCUGCGCAAGUGGCCGAAAGGCUGACGCAGCGACGCCGCGUGCGGAUGACGCUUUCGGAGUGUAAACCGCGUGGUCGGGUGGGAAGGAAGGUCCCGGGAGAAAGUGGCCGUUGGGAU
rnacentral:rRNA from 1 species